rnacentral:rRNA from 1 species
CCGUCUUCGGAUGGUGGACAGUGGCGCACGGGUGAGUAACACGUGGGGACCUGCCUGAUAGUAAGGAAAAACAGUUGGAAACGACUGCUAAUACCUUAUACGCCCUUCGGGGGAAAGAUUUAUCGCUAUCAGAUGGACCCGCGCUAGAUUAGAUAGUUGGUGAGGUAAUGGCUCACCAAGUCUGCGAUCUAUAGCUGGUUUGAGAAGAUGAUCAGCCACAUUGGGACUGAGACACGGCCCAGACUCCUACGGGAGGCAGCAGUGGGGAAUAUUGUACAAUGGGGGCAACCCUGAUACAGCAAUGCCGCGUGAGUGAAGAAGGCCUUAGGGUUGUAAAACUCUUUCGCUAGGGAAGAUAAUGACGGUACCUAGUAAAGAAGUCCCGGCUAACUCCGUGCCAGCAGCCGCGGUAAUACGGAGGGGACUAGCGUUGUUCGGAAUUACUGGGCGUAAAGAGUUCGUAGGCGGAUAAGCAAGUAAGAGGUGAAAGCCCAGGGCUCAACCCUGGAACUGCCUUUUAAACUGCUUAUCUAGAGACCGGUAGAGGUUAGGGGAAUACCUAGUGUAGA